CGGAGGGUGCAAGCGUUAUCCGGAUUCACUGGGUUUAAAGGGAGCGCAGGCGGACCUGUAAGUCAGUGGUGAAAUACCUGAGCUUAACUCGGGAACUGCCAUUGAUACUAUCGGUCUUGAAUGUUGUUGAGGUUUGCGGAAUGGGUCAUGUAGCGGUGAAAUGCAUAGAUAUGACCCGGAACACCUAUUGCGAAGGCAGCAGGCUAAACAAAUAUUGACGCUGAGGCUCGAAAGCGUGGGGAUCAAACAGGAUUAGAUACCCUGGUAGUCCACGCCCUAAACUAUGAUUACUCGACAUACGCGAUACACUGUGUGUGUCUGAGCGAAAGCAUUAAGUAAUCCACCUGGGAAGUACGACCGCAAGGUUG
rnacentral:rRNA from 1 species